UUUAACCAGGAAGUUUAUCUCAGUUGAUUCACCCAUGCUGGUGUUAAAACUUCUGCUUCACAUGCACACUGUUGAUAAAUUAAAGACAAAGAAAGAAAAACAAAACGCAAAGUUAGGAGAGUCAAUGAUGGUGACAACUCAAGGGAACUGAGAGAUGGCUCUAGUGACUUAAAUAGCUUGCAAAACUCUGGGCACGAGGCAGCAAUCACAACAACAACUAACUUAAUUUACAGCAGAUUAUAAACUUCCCAAAAUAUUCAGGACAUCAGCAGGGCUGAGUGUAAAAGCUGGAUGACCAGUCCUAUUGUCGAGGCAUACUGGGCAACAGGAGGAGUAAAGUAGGCCUACAGAAAAGUACUCAGAACAGUCUGAAAGUGAAGCCUGGGGAUGGAGUGACUCUUCACCCCCUGAUAGGGCCUGUGUUACAGGCAGAAGAUGUGCAUCUCUCCACCAGAGCGUGUAGUCUGCGGGUGACGGGGGUCGACGGCGUCUCCCUGCAGAGACCCCUGCCUACCCCGGAACUGGAGCCUGAUACAGAGGAGGCCUCUGACGAGCUCAGCGCUGGGCUCCACCUCCAUGGACCUGAGGUGCAGGCCAGGGAUCCGGGGCAGCCUGGUCCUGCAUCCAGUAUCCCCUGCCCUGUGUCCCUCCAACUCUCCCCUGCAACCCCCAGACUCCCGCUGAGUCUGAGCAGGGCAGUCUCAGUCUAGAGGUGGAGCAUUAGGUGAAGUUCAGAGACGGGCACAAAGAGGCUCAAGAGGAGGAGGAUACGGCAGCCCUGAGGUCAAAAGUCAUAUACAGUAUGAUCCCGAGAGAGACUUCGCCAACUACGGAAUCACACCUCAUAGGGGGGUUUUCCAUUAUGGCCCCCCGGGAACAGGAAAGACUAUGACUGGAUGAGCCAUAGACAAUGAGGUCGGGGCACAUAUGACCGUAAUCAACCGUCCAGAAAUCAUGAGCAAAUUUUAUGGUGAAACAGAGGUCAGAUUGAGGCAGAUAUUCACAGGAGCCUCUCAAAGGUAAAUAUUGAGAGAAAAAAUACAUAUCAACCUCAGAAAUGCAGACUGACAUCCAAAAUAUCCCCCUCUUUCCUGGACAUCCUUCAGACAUUCUCCCUCUGUCUGCUGAGUGCCUGCUGAAUCUUGAUUUUUGUUCUGUCAGCGAAUCAGUCUAAUGAGAAAAAGAGAGCGCAGGCCCAUGAUCAGAGAUGGCUCGACAGCCGCCCUCCGCCCCUUUAGAGAACACAGGGAGCCUGGGAAACCCAUCACCGCUGGUCGCCAUCAUGUGCCAAAUUGGCAUCACGUUAUGGCCAAGUAUAUCUUCAUCUCCCCAGCCCAGCUCCUUGGUGCAGAUGGUGCACUGAAGUAGCUGCUCUCCCUCCUGCUAUCUAUUUUCCAUACCGAUGCUAAGGCUUGUUGUAUAAUCCAAGGUCACCAACCACCAAGGGCCUGCUGCUGUGGAAUGUGGCGAAAGCACUUCCUGCUCCCAGAAUUCUUCUCCCUCCACUCUCACUGUAAUUUAUUUGUGUUUUGGUCCCUCUGCUGGGCCUGUGGUAUAGGGGGAGGUGGAAAUAGCAUUAUUUCUCAGCCAGACCACCCAUUUUAGAACAUAGUACAAGGAGCUCUGUUUAUAGUAUUAAUAUUGUAUUGCCAGAUAAUGCCUGAUAGUUUCAGAAGAUGUAAAACAGUAAUUUAUUAAGCCUUCAGACACAUUUAUGGUCUGGAAAUGUCCUUUAUGUUUGAGCUUUUAGUGUCUGGGUCAUUGAUUAGGGCUAAGAUUAUUGAUUAAUCAUUUAUUACACCUACAUGCUCAAAUUCAAGCACAGUCAUACUGCCUUAAAAGCAUACUUGCUUCAUCCUACUCCAAUUGCUCUCUUACAUUCAAACCCCUCAUUGACUGAUUUAAUGCUUGUUUUACCAGGGAAGUUGACUGAAACUUGGUAACUUUCCUAACUGUCCUGGUUGGUCUCUUCCUCCAGGAGGGCCACUCAGGCCACCUGCUGGUCCUUGUGGCACCAACCGGCCCCACGCCCUGGACCCAGCUCUCUAAAUCAAAUUUUAUUCGUCACAUGCGCCGAAUACAACAGGUGUAGACCUUAAGUGAAAUGCUUACUUACAAGCCCUUAAUCAACAAUGCAGUUCAAGAAAGAGUUAAGAAAAUAUUUCCUAAGUAAACUAAAGUAACAAAAAUUAUAAAAAGUAUCACAAUAAUAUAACAAUAACGAGGCUAUAUACAGGGGGUACCGGUGCCAAGUCAAUGUUCGGGGGUACAGGUUAGUCGGAGGUAAUUUGUACAUGUAGGUAUGGGUAAAGUGACUAUGCAUAGAUAAUAGACAACGCUUAGCAGCAGUGAAAAAACUAAUGGAAGGGGGGGGGGCUCAAUGUAAAUAGUUUGGGUGGCCAUUUAGUUCAGGUAGGCUGUUGAUUACGUGUUCAGCAGUCUCAUGGCUUGGGGGUAGAAGCUGUUAAGGAGCCUUUUGGUCCUAGACUUGGCGCUCCAGUACCGCUUGCCGUUCUGGUACCGAUUGCUAAACUUCCUCUGACACCGCCUAGUAUAAAGGUCCUGGAUGGCAGGAAGCUUGGCCCCAGUGAUGUACUGGGCCGUACGCACUACCCUCUGUAGCGCCUUAUGGUCAGAUGCCGAGUAGUUUCCAUGCCAGGCGGUGAUGCAACCGGUCAGGAUGCUUUCGAUGGUGCAGCUGUAGAACUUUUUGAGGAUUUGGGGAACCAUGCCAAAUCUUUUCAGUCUCCUGAGGGGGAAAAGGUGUUGUUGUGCCCUCUUCACGAUUGUCUUGGUGUGUUUGGACCAUGAUAGCUCGUUGGUGAUGUGGACACCAAGGAACUUGAAACUCUCGACCCGUUCCACUUCAGACCCGACAAUGUCAAUGGGGGCCUGUUCAGCCCUCCUUUUCCUAUAGUCCAUGAUCAGCUCAUUUAUCUUGCUCACAUUGAGGUAGAGGUUGCUGUCCUGGCACCACACUGCCAGGUCUGAUCGUUGUCGGUGAUCACGCCUACCA